CCUCCCGCUAGGCUGAGCACAGGCGGAAUCCCCAGACGAGGGAUUCAAAUCUACGCCAUUUCCCUAGAUGGAUUUGGGGAGCAGCCUGGGGCUGGAACAGGGGGAUCAGGAGAGCUGGAUGUCAUGAGCCCUCGAAUGGGUCCCAGAUAGGGAAACUGAGUCACAGAAUGUCAACUUCUCUGACAGAGGAGGCCAAGCCCAGGGCAGGGUGACUCGGACACCCAAGUUCCUCUCUAAGGGCGCAUCCUCUCCUGGUGGCAGUCAGGUAUGAGAGGCUUCUUCCCAGAGACCAGUGCUGGGGAUGGAGUCCAGGGCCUUGCAGGAGCUAAGCAAGUGCUCACCACUGAGGUGCAACCCCAGACUGAGCAGACGUGUGUUGCAGUGGGUACUACUUCUCAUCUCCCAUUUUGCAGACAGAUAAAUUGAG